GGUUAAGCGACUAAGCGUACACGGUGGAUGCCCUGGCAGUCAGAGGCGAUGAAGGACGUGCUAAUCUGCGAAAAGCGUCGGUAAGGUGAUAUGAACCGUUAUAGCCGGCGAUGUCCGAAUGGGGAAACCCAGUGUGAUUCGUCACACUAUCGUUAACUGAAUACAUAGGUUAACGAGGCGAACCGGGGGAACUGAAACAUCUAAGUACCCCGAGGAAAAGAAAUCAACCGAGAUUCCCCCAGUAGCGGCGAGCGAACGGGGAGCAGCCCAGAGUCUGAAUCAGCUUGUGUGUUAGUGGAACGGUCUGGAAAGUCCGACGGUACAGGGUGAUAGUCCCGUACACCAAAAUGCACAGGUUGUGAACUCGAAGAGUAGGGCGGGACACGUGGUAUCCUGUCUGAAUAUGGGGGGACCAUCCUCCAAGGCUAAAUACUCCUGACUGACCGAUAGUGAACCAGUACCGUGAGGGAAAGGCGAAAAGAACCCCGGCGAGGGGAGUGAAAAAGAACCUGAAACCGUGUACGUACAAGCAGUGGGAGCACCUUCGGGUGUGACUGCGUACCUUUUGUAUAAUGGGUCAGCGACUUAUAUUCUGUAGCAAGGUUAACCGUAUAGGGGAGCCGCAGGGAAACCGAGUCUUAACUGGGCGUUAAGUUGCAGGGUAUAGACCCGAAACCCGGUGAUCUAGCCAUGGGCAGGUUGAAGGUUGGGUAACACUAACUGGAGGACCGAACCGACUAAUGUUGAAAAAUUAGCGGAUGACUUGUGGCUGGGGGUGAAAGGCCAAUCAAACCGGGAGAUAGCUGGUUCUCCCCGAAAGCUAUUUAGGUAGCGCCUCGUGAACUCAUCUUCGGGGGUAGAGCACUGUUUCGGCUAGGGGGUCAUCCCGACUUACCAACCCGAUGCAAACUACGAAUACCGAAGAAUGUUAUCACGGGAGACACACGGCGGGUGCUAACGUCCGUCGUGAAGAGGGAAACAACCCAGACCGCCAGCUAAGGUCCCAAAGUCAUGGUUAAGUGGGAAACGAUGUGGGAAGGCACAGACAGCCAGGAUGUUGGCUUAGAAGCAGCCAUCAUUUAAAGAAAGCGUAAUAGCUCACUGGUCGAGUCGGCCUGCGCGGAAGAUGUAACGGGGCUAAACCAUGCACCGAAGCUGCGGCAGCGACACUAUGUGUUGUUGGGUAGGGGAGCGUUCUGUAAGCCUGCGAAGGUGUGCUGUGAGGCAUGCUGGAGGUAUCAGAAGUGCGAAUGCUGACAUAAGUAACGAUAAAGCGGGUGAAAAGCCCGCUCGCCGGAAGACCAAGGGUUCCUGUCCAACGUUAAUCGGGGCAGGGUGAGUCGACCCCUAAGGCGAGGCCGAAAGGCGUAGUCGAUGGGAAACAGGUUAAUAUUCCUGUACUUGGUGUUACUGCGAAGGGGGGACGGAGAAGGCUAUGUUAGCCGGGCGACGGUUGUCCCGGUUUAAGCAUGUAGGCUGAUUGUCCAGGCAAAUCCGGAUAAUCAAGGCUGAGGUGUGAUGACGAGGCACUACGGUGCUGAAGUAACAAAUGCCCUGCUUCCAGGAAAAGCCUCUAAGCAUCAGGUAACAUCAAAUCGUACCCCAAACCGACACAGGUGGUCAGGUAGAGAAUACCAAGGCGCUUGAGAGAACUCGGGUGAAGGAACUAGGCAAAAUGGUGCCGUAACUUCGGGAGAAGGCACGCUGGUGUGUAGGUGAAGUCCCUGCGGAUGGAGCUGAGACCAGUCGAAGAUACCAGCUGGCUGCAACUGUUUAUUAAAAACACAGCACUGUGCAAACACGAAAGUGGACGUAUACGGUGUGACGCCUGCCCGGUGCCGGAAGGUUAAUUGAUGGGGUUAUCCGUAAGGAGAAGCUCUUGAUCGAAGCCCCGGUAAACGGCGGCCGUAACUAUAACGGUCCUAAGGUAGCGAAAUUCCUUGUCGGGUAAGUUCCGACCUGCACGAAUGGCGUAAUGAUGGCCAGGCUGUCUCCACCCGAGACUCAGUGAAAUUGAACUCGCUGUGAAGAUGCAGUGUACCCGCGGCAAGACGGAAAGACCCCGUGAACCUUUACUAUAGCUUGACACUGAACAUUGAGCCUUGAUGUGUAGGAUAGGUGGGAGGCUUUGAAGCGUGGACGCCAGUCUGCGUGGAGCCAACCUUGAAAUACCACCCUUUAAUGUUUGAUGUUCUAACGUUGGCCCCUGACCGGGGUUGCGGACAGUGUCUGGUGGGUAGUUUGACUGGGGCGGUCUCCUCCCAAAGCGUAACGGAGGAGCACGAAGGUUAGCUAAUCCUGGUCGGACAUCAGGAGGUUAGUGCAAUGGCAUAAGCUAGCUUGACUGCGAGCGUGACGGCGCGAGCAGGUGCGAAAGCAGGUCAUAGUGAUCCGGUGGUUCUGAAUGGAAGGGCCAUCGCUCAACGGAUAAAAGGUACUCCGGGGAUAACAGGCUGAUACCGCCCAAGAGUUCAUAUCGACGGCGGUGUUUGGCACCUCGAUGUCGGCUCAUCACAUCCUGGGGCUGAAGUAGGUCCCAAGGGUAUGGCUGUUCGCCAUUUAAAGUGGUACGCGAGCUGGGUUUAGAACGUCGUGAGACAGUUCGGUCCCUAUCUGCCGUGGGCGCUGGAGAAUUGAGGGGGGCUGCUCCUAGUACGAGAGGACCGGAGUGGACGCAUCACUGGUGUUCGGGUUGUCAUGCCAAUGGCACUGCCCGGUAGCUAAAUGCGGAAGAGAUAAGUGCUGAAAGCAUCUAAGCACGAAACUUGCCCCGAGAUGAGUUCUCCCUGAGACUUUAAGUCUCCUGAAGGAACGUUGAAGACGACGACGUUGAUAGGCCGGGUGUGUAAGCGCAGCGAUGCGUUGAGCUAACCGGUACUAAUGAACCGUGAGGCUUAACCUU
rnacentral:rRNA from 1 species